UACGUAGGGGGCAAGCGUUGUCCGGAUUUAUUGGGCGUAAAGAGCGUGUAGGCGGCUAGAUAGGUCCGUUGUGAAAACUCGAGGCUCAACCUCGAGACGUCGAUGGAAACCAUCUGGCUAGAGUCCGGAAGAGGAGAGUGGAAUUCCUGGUGUAGCGGUGAAAUGCGCAGAUAUCAGGAGGAACACCAAUAGCGAAGGCAGCUCGCUGGGACGGUACUGACGCUAAGGCGCGAAAGCGUGGGGAGCGAACAGG
rnacentral:rRNA from 1 species